rnacentral:tRNA from 1 species
GAGGGUAUAGCUCAGUGGUAGAGUACAUGCUUAGCAUGCACAAGGUCCUGGGUUCAGUCCCCAGUACCUCCA